rnacentral:rRNA from 1 species
GAUGAACGCUGGCGGCGUGCUUAACACAUGCAAGUCGAACGAAGCACUUUAUCUGAUUUCCUUCGGGACUGAUUAUUUUGUGACUGAGUGGCGGACGGGUGAGUAACGCGUGGGUAACCUGCCUUGUACAGGGGGAUAACAGUUGGAAACGGCUGCUAAUACCGCAUAAGCGCACAGCAUCGCAUGAUGCAGUGUGAAAAACUCCGGUGGUAUAAGAUGGACCCGCGUUGGAUUAGCUAGUUGGUGAGGUUACGGCCCACCAAGGCGACGAUCCAUAGCCGACCUGAGAGGGUGACCGGCCACGUUGGGACUGAGACACAGCCCCAACUCGUACGGGAGGCAGCAGAAGGGAAGAUUGCACAAUGAGCGAAAGCCUAAUGCAGCGACGUCGCGUGAGCGAACAAGUAUUUCGGUAUGUAAAGCUGUAUCAGCAGAGGAGAUAGUGACGGUACCUGACUAAGAAGCACCGGCUAAAUACGUG